UACGUAGGUGGCAAGCGUUGUCCGGAUUUAUUGGGUUUAAAGGGUGCGUAGGCGGUUUUUUAAGUCAGUGGUGAAAUACGGCAGCUUAACUGUCGAGGUGCCAUUGAUACUGGGAAACUUGAGUACUGAUGAGGUAGGCGGAAUGGACGGUGUAGCGGUGAAAUGCUUAGAUAUCGUCCAGAACACCGAUAGCGAAGGCAGCUUACUAAGGAGUAACUGACGCUGAGGCACGAAAGUGUGGGGAUCAAACAGG
rnacentral:rRNA from 1 species